CAGUGAGCAGCCCGGUCCCGGGGAGCUGCCCGGCCAGCGCGGGUCUCGCCCCGCAGGAGCCGCUCCCCGCAGGAGGGUCCCGCAGCUCCGCGCUAUUUACCUUUCCCCCACAAGGUGGUAGCGCAGCAUCAGAGUCAUGUAAACACGGGGCUUGGCUGAGCUCUCGCCCUCUCACCUGGCACACUCCUGCUGCUGGACAAACGCGGGCAAGUCUCUUCCUUUUCACUAGCUUUCUAAUUAAAGAACAGCCCGAUACAUCUGUGAGAAUAAAUAUUUGAGAAUAAAGAAGAUAUAUCUAUUCCAUGCCCCAAAGGGCUGUGUGGAAAGAAUGAGUGAUAGGGAUAAAAUCAUGUAAUCCAGCCUGGAGAUUUUGACUUGUUUCCAGAACUGGGGAGGCCAGAUAUUAUCAAAUGCUGCUCCAGGGGAGUGAACCAGUCUGGGCUGCAGUGGUCCCUAUCAUCACACUCGAGUGGUUGCAGAGUGUGACAGAUUGUCCUUUCAAGGCCCACCAGAAUCCAUGUCCAGCAGCUUGUAGGACAAUAAGUUGGGCAUCUCUCUAGUGAAAUAUUUGAGCUCUUUUCUAAAACUAGUUUAAGUGACAGUUUUCUCCUUGGCACUACUCCUACUGCUACUGGUUUCAGACAGCCCUAUCUGAGACCUUCUCUGGCUUUCCACCGCUUGUUGCUACACACCACACCUGGCAGCACAACUAUGACAGAGCAGGAAACUACUUUGCCAUUAUUAUUCCCUCCAUUAUGCAAACUGCUUUUCCUCAACCAAAUUCCAGCAGUCCAACACAGAUUCAUGAACUGCUGUGCUAUCAAAAGCAAGCAGACAUUCUAUCUACAGCAGAAGAAGUGGGCAGAAACAUUAAACCAGAUCUUAGCCCAUGAAUCCAUUUUGUCAUUGACCUGUGCUUAGUUUCAGAUGUUGAACAAGCUCUCCUGCCAGGAUUUGUUUCUUAUUUUUCAGUCUGUUGUACUACAUGAGAUUCGGACAUUGCUGAACUCGAGCAUGUAGGAGCAGAUGAUCCAACUGAGAUUAUCACAGGAAGUCCAAGAGGAAUUUAAUCCAAUCCUUUGAACUUUCAAGUGGAACAGAGGUCUUGGGUCCAAAAUAGCAAAAUGCAUGCACUCCACAACAGGACAACUUUCCCUCAUCAGUGCACUGCUCUGCAGAGGCUUUCAGAAAGAAGUAUUUCAGCUUCACUACUUUCCCCUGACCACUGGGAUGUUCAGAAGAGAAGCAUUUGAACUGGUACCUUGGAGACUUUGAACUGUAUAUCAAAAGAAAAGAAAUGGAGAACAAGAAAGCAAAGUUAUCACUAGCUAUUCUACCCAAUGGCAAAUGGAAGGAUCAAGCCAGCCAGGUAAAGCCUACUAUGUCUGCACAUUUAUACUAAAGGGACAGCGACCUUCUGUCCCCAGAAGCAAGUUCUUUUUCUUCUUGUAGACACCUCAUUUAAUCUUGGAACAUAAAUAAUAAUCCUGAACUUCCUGCAUUUCACCCUAGAUCUACUACUGCCAUCAAUGGGAGCUUUGAAAGAGGAAGGCAUAGACACUGGGAUAAAGCUUUAGGCUGAAAGAUCUAUGUCCAAGUCCAUGCCAUUUUCUACAUCUGAAAAGUGCCCACAAUUUUAUGGGUAACCUACAAAAACAAUUGAAGUAACUGUGGUGGUCGUACAUUGUUGAGAUUGUUUUCUUUCCACUCCCCAACCUCAUAAUGUGAACAGAGCCAUGACAAUGAUCUAUUAGAGCUGGGGCCAGACUCGCUACAGAAAACUUAAUAUGACCUGAGAACCAAAAUGCAGUCACAGCCCCAAACAGCUCAGGGGUGAGAUGGAUUCUUUGUCCAUCCUGUAUCCUAAAUGCAUCCAAAUUUUCCAGUAUCCAUAUAUCUAUGUGGACCACUUAACUCCCUCUUGAACUCUCCUUAGUGCUUUAAAUUGCUUGUCAGCCACAUGUGAAAAUAUCUAACUCAUCUAAAAUUUACAUUCCAGGGUUUUCUAUAACUGAUUUCUCUCAGCAGUAAGGCUUCUUCUGAUCUCAGUGCCACUGAAAUGGUGGGACUGAAUUUUGCACAGAUACUCAGAAUUGUGUGUGGAGCAGAAAUGUAAUGAGCCCUGGGUCAGAAUUUCAGCAGUCCCUUAUUCAGGGCAUCAGCAUGGGGGAGGGCUAGCUGAGAUAAAAAGGUAAUCUGAUUGCUGCUGCUGGCAAGAGGACAGAUGUCAACAUUGCCUCUCCUUUUCACGGAAACAUACCUGGCUUUAUGAAGAAUAGGUUAGCAAAUAUUUUAAUACAAAUAGCAACCUCAGCAGAGCUGCCAAAGCAGGCUCCAAAGAGACUGACUUGUUUACAGUCUGGACCAGUGCCUUAAAACCUGACGUGCUUAUUCAACAGAAAAUUAACCCCAAAACAGGUAUCAUCAUUACUGUAGGGAGAAGCUCCAGAAAGAUAAUAUCCUAACUCACUCCAGCUGAACUCAGGACAUUGUCCACUUUUUUAUCACAUCCAGUGCCCUUGUAGUCGUUCAGAAUAAUCAAGCAAAUAAAGAAGUGAGGUAUAUCACAUGUGAUAGCUUGGGUCACUGGGACUGCAUGGAUAUUUGGAUCUGGCCCAACAUCCUGCCUUCACUUGAAUUACUACUGGAAUCUAACUUCUUGCAUUGUUUUAAGAGACUAAAUUGUUCUCUCUAUGUACUUUGGUCAUCCCAACUCAGAUGUUAUCUUUUUCUUUCCCACUCUAGUUUUUGGCCACAAAAAAUAUACAUGAAGAGUGCUGAGAAGAGCCUUUCUUUCCCAGCUGCAGUGUGUGUAUAUGUGUCUGUGUUACUGUUCUCUCUGAAAAGCCUUUGACAAAAAGUGCAUUUAUGAGGUCAUUUGUUUAAGAGGUUACUAGUGAUCCCCAUGAAAAAGAAUUCUGAUAUAGAUUUGACCUUGGAAGCAGCACUAGUAAUACCAAACUGGUGUGGUAAAAAAUGAGAGAAGAAAUUGUUUCCAAAGCUACCGUAGACGUGCAGUGACAGAAGAAACUUUCACAGGGAAUGGUUACCGCUCUGGAAAAGUCACUCCACAGAGGUGUCAUAAUCUUUAGCUAUCAAAUUUCUUGGAAGAUGGAGAGAAAGACUGGUCCUGGAAUUAUUAUGCAAAGGCCUGUAAUACUGGAUUUACCAACAGAGACCUCGGUCAGCUUUCAUUGCAUAAGUCAGUUCAUUUUGAGCAAGCCCAUGGGGGAACAAGAGAGACAGCUGAAGAGGGACAGGUAUGAGCCAGGGCUUUCCUGUGUGAGCUGGUGCCAGAACUGUGUCAGACCACACAUUGCCCUGCAUCCCAGCUCUUUGUGAGAAACUGACCUCAGAGCUCCAUAGAACCUGGAAACUAAAGUAACUGGAUUUGGAUUUCAUGCAGGAUUUAAUUUUUUCCCCACAAAACUUUUACUGAAACUAAAAAUAAAAGGUGUUUUUUUUUCUAUCCCAGACCAUUGGUAUCCCAGACUACUGGGAUAAUACCACUAAUAUUAAGAGACAGUAGUUGUGAUCUAGAAGAAAGGGUGAACAGAGGGAGUUAUUGCUUGAGAUGGCCAAAGGGAAUCAUAAUUUGUGAUGGCCACCCUUGAUGAGCAGCAUGGAGGGACAUGACUUCCUUGUUCAACUAUUCUUUCAGUGAAUUUGUAGCUGGACUUUCUGGGGCUGCAGCAGCUUGCCAUUUCUUGUAGGGAUGGAAUAACAAUCCCUGUCAAAGCGGUGAACUCUUGAAGAAUGCAAAACUGAAGCAACCUGCAGGUAUCAGGCCACAGGAAGUUUUGUGGAUCAAACACGUAAUCCAGCUGGGAUUUCGUGAGAACUGGAAGCACAUACUUGCUUCCACUGAAAAUACCUGCCAGCGCCUCCUUCAUACUGAAAGUAGAACAGAAUGCAAUGACAACUGAAAGGUUUCUCACAGUAACCUAAAAAGCUUUUAAAAAUAAUUGUAUCCCUUUUGUAGAAUUCUGUAACUGUUUAAAAACAAAACAAGAAAAAACCCAACACUGCUUCCUCAUGUGUCUGUAUUUUAGAGUACUAUCCACAGAAACUUAUUAGAGCCAACCCCACUAAAUUCCUUACAAUUGUCCCACAAGGGUGGUUCUCAAAGUAAAAAAGGAGAAAAAUGCUGGCAGUUUAUGUAAUUUCUUUUUCACUUAUACAAUCUGAGAAGAUAUCUAAGAAUUUUAGUGGUGUACAAGUCUCUGGUGACAAGAAUCAGUCUGGAAGAGCCUUCUCUACAAACUCAGCCUUGUUUAUCUGCCUGUCCUCUUGUACACCCUUGUCCCAUCUCUCUCUCUGCUCCCGAGAGGACAAAGAGAAAAAUACAUCCUCUUGAAAAUCAACAGACUGAACUAGAAUGCAGUACUUGAAUGACUGAAAAAAACCCAAACCCCUUAUACAUUUUAUAAGAGUUGAUUCUGGGUCUGUUUUGCUUGAAAGAAAUAUUUGCCUACUGAAAAGUCUGGCUGGGUUCAAGUGGCAUAGUGAAAUGUUCCCUAAAUAAUCCUAACUCAAUUCCCUGCCUUUCCUAUAAGAAGCCCAGUUACUUUAACCUUUUCUAUCAAAACUCAGGAGCAUAGUCCCCUCCUCUCUCCUUUGCACCACACAUAACCUGGAAUUCUGGACCUUCCAGUGCCCAACUUGUACCCUUCUUGACAUUUAGUGUGUUAAUGACUCUAUCCCUGUGCUAUUUUUCUUCCUUACAUGUCUGAUACAAAAUGCUAAGCAUCCUUGUGACCUUUAAACAUCCUGCACUGUUCUCCAGCUCCUCUUUACAUGAUCCAGACUCAUCUCCACCUCCUGUUAGAAAAUCCUGUGCAUGCACCUGGCUUGAUUACAUCAGCAUAUCUGCACACAGCUGAGCUAACACAUUUCAAUGAAUCUACUGCAGAAGCAAAAGGAAAUGAAUACCUCUCCUUCUGUCUGCAAUCCAACAGUUGUUCCACCAUGGUAUCAAUCUGGCAUUAAAUGAGAGUUAUCUGUAAAUGCAUUUCACUGCUACCUGGAUGCCAUGAUGUGGAGCUGGAAAAGAACCAGCCUGACAAGAUUUUGAUGGUGGCCACUAAAAAGUAAAACUAUUUAAUUUCCCCACACUUGAAACAUCACCUCUUUUUGGUAUUAUUCUUUUUCCUUCCUUUUUUACUAGAUGAAGUAGCCACAUAUUCCAGGAGUAAUAUGUGAGUAAAGCAAAAGUUGUAUGAGACACAUACCUCUCCCUGAAAGUUGCUACAGAAUUCACACUACAUGCAGACAGCCCAGCAGUUGUAUUUCUCAAGAAUACUGCUGCACAUAUGCAUUUUUCAAUAUUAUUUUACUGUACAUGAGUAGGUGAUGCCUCUUUCUUUAACCUGGACAAUGAGCACUCAGGAAUCACCAGAAAGAGUCACAAGAGUCAGAUAAAUGCAUAUGCACAGCAGUGCAUUUGAUCUGUAAUCCUGGGUUUCACUGUGCAUCCACAGACCUCUUUCCCUCAAGGGCAGAGGCCUAAUGGAUUGCAAGGUUCUGUAAAUAACUUCUGAUUUCUGCUGAGCAGGACAGACCAGUGAACAGAAACACGUGUUCAUCACAGGCACUGGUUAGCUGAAGAGAGCAGCACUGUAGGAAAACAAGUGUUACUAGGAAUAAAAAGUCUGCUCCAGAUUCUUGUUCUGAACUUGACACCAGAGUACCAGGAAAGUCUCUGUGGGAGAGUUUGGAAGACUUCAAUUCAUGUCUGGUGGAGCGAACAGCAGUUGUAAAAUCUCAAGAGAUGAGGGCCACCCAGAGUGUGUCAGUUUAUCAACUGGACAGCUGUGGUGUGUCUACAAAUGCCAAACCAUAAGCACAUUGGCAGGGGAAGCAGGAAUUGUGGCCAGCACACAGAGAAGUGGCUCCUGAGUUUCUGAAUUGCCUGCCUCUCUGAGCACACUUAUGGUCCAGGCCAGCCUGCCAGCUCCAGCAAGACUACUGUGCAGCAGCCCAGGGACAUAAACACACCUCACACCUGGCUCCACAGCCUUUGGGAAGCGCUCUGGAUUACAGAGGAUGGCAGUUUGGGAAUACUGCAGCACUCAGCUCAAGUCCCUGCACUGCACAGGGCAGCAAGAUAACAGUGUAAAUGGAAAGACCUUAAAGCCUUAUUGCUCUCCAGCUCAAGAAGCAGCCUGUUGGGAGUUAUGAGCAGCAUAAGAAAGAGACUUUCUGGUGGUAAAGAAACCACUGAGAGACUUGAUCAAAUGCUUUGGGAUCAUGGGACUGGGAGCAGAGCAGUAAAGCCACUUUUAUGCAUCAAAGUGGUCUUACCAAAACAAAGAGAGCCACGGGUUUUCCAUGCAAAAGAGCCACUUGUUGCUGAUGGCCAUAUUUUAUACCCAGUGGAAAGCUGAAAGUCAAAACAAAUUACUCAGGAGAAGAAGGCAGAGAAUCAUGCCUCAAAGAGAAAUUUGGACUACAGUGACAAGAAAACAAAUGUCAACAACAAAUGCCCGAGGAAAGUGAACAUGAAGUAGAUUAAAAAUUGAAUGAAGUGUUAUCUAAAAUAUACGUAGUCUUUUAUAUCAGUCUUAGGUGUCCUUCAGGUACUUUAUAAGCUGUAAUAUUUAUGAUUAUUGGUUAUUUAUAGUUGUAGCAGUAGCAACAUUAACGUAUCAAUAGGCUGUGAAGAGAUAAACUCUAUUCCUAGUGUAUUCCUAAUGGAGUUCUAGUAAAUCCUAGAGCAUUCCACCUAAUCCAUUCUGAAGACAUUGACUAGGGCUUAGUUUGUCAGGAUUUUAAGCUCCUAACACUAGAAGCAGGGACAGAGGAUUAUCCAGGCUUCUUAAAAUCCUCUAACCAGUUAAAAGUUUGGCAAAGGAAAGGAAAAAUAGAUUCUGUUGUUGCUGAUCCUCAGGCCUGGCUUCAUAGGCUGCUAGAUAUUCUGGCCAUAAGCUUUCUCUUGCUUUUCUCUACUUUCUUUGGAGAAGAAUACAAACCAGCAGGCUGGGAUGCACCCUGGAAAUGCCUGAAGCUCUUCUGAGGUUAAGAGAGGGAAGGGGGUCUUUAGAGACUGACCAAAGAGCCAGUCUGCUUCUCCACUGACUUUGCUUUCCUAGUGAAGAACCAGUGUCCCAAGAAUCCUUGAAGUAACAUAGACACUUCUUCCCUGCAAAUAUGGGAAAACAGCCUUGGGGUAUUUAUAUCAACCAGGAAUCAAGGGCUGAUGGUGCUGGAUCCUAUUGAUAAAAGCUUGCAGCAAUGACUCCAGUGUCCCAAACUACAGCUUACGGUGACCACCAUGACCACAACACAGGGAACAGCAUAGACGGAUUUAAAUUUAUUUCCCAGAGAGAAGACAAAUCAACACGUGGUCCAUAUCAGGUGCAUUGAACUAAAUGACCAUUAAAGGUCCCUUCCAAUCCAAACCAUUAUGUGAUUCUAUGACCUCUCUAGUUCUUCAAUAGGCAUUCUGGAGCUAACAGUUUGAGAGAUGGGCACCAGAGCCCAUUAGGAAGCAAGUGGUGAUUUGGGAUAUCGGGGAACCUCGAGGUGUGUGCUGCUGAGAGAAUGAGGGCAGCCCCGACAGUUCUGCUUUUCUGUUCCUCUACACCUGUGAGAUUUUGUGUGUAUUUCUUAAUAACUGAGCCCUGGCCCAGGCAGCU